rnacentral:lncRNA from 1 species
UCGAGCCCUAGUGACAAGCAUUAAGCAUGGCAAAGUAGUAGCAACAUCAAUCUCAGAACAUAGUGGAUACUAGGGAUCAAUCCCCGUCAAAACUAACUCGAUUACAUGAUAGAUCUCAUCCUACUCAUCACCGCCCAGCGAGCCUACGAAUAGAUUACUCACGAACGACGAAGAGCUUCAUGUAAUUGGAGAGGGAAGAAGGUUGAUGAUGACAAUGGCGACGAUUUCCCCUCUCCGGAGCCCAAAACGGACUCCAGAUCUGCCCUCCAGAUGAAGAACGGGAUGUGGCGGCGCCUCUGUAUCGCAAACGCGACGGAAUCUUCUCUCUUGAUUUUUUCUGGGACGCAAGUGAACUUAUAGAGCUGAGAUCGAGGGCGGCAGAGCCACGUGGGCCCCACAAGCUUGCCAUCCGCCACCAGGGGGUGGCGGCUACAGGGCUUGUGGCCCACUGGCCCACCCCGUCAGGUGGAUCUUUGUGCAGGUAUUUUUCAUUUUCCAAAAAUAUUCUCCGUAAAUUUUCAGGACGUUAUGAGAACUUUGAUUUCUGCACAAAAAACAACACCAAGGCAAUUCUGCUGAAAACAUUGUCAGUCCAGGUUAAUUUCAUUCAAAUCAUGCAAAUUAGAGUCCAAAACAAGGUCAAAAGAGUUUGGAAAAGUAGAUACGAUGGAUACGUAUCAACUCCCCCAAGCUUAAAACCUUGCUUGUCCUCAAGCAACUCAGUUGACAAACUAAGAGAGAAAGAAAAACUUUGACGAACUCUGUUUGAUCUUGUUGUUGCAACUAUGUCUAACUCAUAACCAGAAUUUCAGCAAGAUCACAAGUUAACCACAUAAGCAAGUAACACAAAGGUCUCACGGUAAACUAAUAUCAAUGGCAUAAUCAGCUAACGAGCAAAUAAUAAUGAGUUCCAAAUACCAACACUUCAAUCAAAACAAGCAUGAAGCAAUAUGAAUAGGUGGUAUCUCACUAGCUCUUUCUGAGACAGCAAAACAUAAAUGCAGAGCACUUUCAAAGAUCAGGGGCUGACUAAACAUUGUAAUUCAUAGUAACGAAGAUCCAGUCAUAGUCAUACUCAAUAUCAAUCAAAAGAAAAGCAUAAAAAAUGAUAGAGGUGCUCUCUAAUUGGUGCUUAUAUAAGAAGAGGAUGACUCGACAGGAAAAUAAAUAGACAGGCCCUUCGGAGAGGGAAGCAUUGAUUUGCAGAGGUGCCAGAGCUCAAGCUUUGAAAACAGAGAUAAUAAUUUUGGGUGGCAUGCUUUCAUUGUCAACGCAAUGACCAAGAGUUCUUAAUAUCUUCCAUGCUACUCAUGCUAUAGGCGGUUCCCAAACAGAAAAGUAAAGUUUUAACUCCCCCACCACCAAUCAAUCACACUCCACGGCUAGCCGAAUCCUCGGGUACCGUCCAUACUAACAUCAAUCCGGGGGGAGACUUGUAUUAUAGUUAUGUUUUCGAUUUAAGCGUCGAACUGGGCAUUCCAAUUACCGGUCCCUUUCUCGUGAAUGAUAGUGAAUAAACACAUGUCGAGGAUAACACUCCUAGCAUGGAAGAUACCAAUAGCCCCCUGUCACCACAUGAGCGGUUCGGGCAUGCAAAACAUAUUAUUUCUUCAAGGUUUAGAGAGUGGCACAUGCAAAUUUACUUGGAACGGCAGGUAGAUACCGCAAAUAGGUAGGUAUGGUGGACUCUCAUGGAAAAACUUUUGGGUUUAUGGAAGUGUAUGCACAAGCAGUAUUCCGCUUAGUACAAGUGAAGGCUAGCAAAAGACUGGGAAGCGACCAACUAGAGAGCGACAACAGUCAUCAAGAUGCAAUGAGUUUGACUAACAUUGAAUGCAAGCAUGAACAUGAUAUAAAUCACUAUGAACACAAACAUCAUAGAGGCUAUGUUGAUUUUGUUUCAACUACAUGCAUGAACAUGCGCGAAGUCAAGCCACUUGAAUCAUUCAAAGGAGAAUACCAUCCUAUCAUACCACAUCAUAGUCAUCUCAAAAUCUAUGUUGGCAUGCAAGACAAACCAUUAUAAGCUCCUAGCUAAAUAAGCAUGGCAUCAGAAACUAUGAUCUCUAAGUUGUCAUUGCAAACAUGGUUCUCUCACAACAAAGCUGAAUCUGGUUUGACAACCUAGUCAUAUUUACAAAAACAAAAUAGAUAGAGUUCAUACCAGCUUUUCAGUCUCAGUCACUUCAUCAUAUAUCAUCAUUAUUGCCUUUCACUUGCACGAUCGAACGAUGUGAACAAUAAUAAGAGUGCUCAUGCAUUGGACUAAGCUAAAUCUGCAGGCAAACACAGAGGAGAACACAAAGUAAUAUGGCUCUUUGAAAGCUAAACAGGUAUGCAUGCAAGAACCAAUAAACAUUGUAACCAAUAUCUUCUACCUUGACCCAAAGAAAAAGAAAACUAUUUACACGGGAAAACUCCCAACAAGCAAAAGAAGAAAGAAAAAUCUUUUUGGGUUUUCUCAAAAGGACACAAAAUAAGAAAAGAAAAUAAACUAGCAUGGAUAAUAAGUGGCAAAGUGUGAACACCGGCUAACAAAGUGAAAUCAUAAGCAUGAAUGUAAAGUCGGUGAGAACACGUACUCCCCCAAGCUUAGGAUUUUGGUCUAGCUUGGUCUACUCCCAUGGAUGGUCCUGGCGAAACCCUAAAUCAAAAUUGGUGUUAUACGGGAGUGCUGCAGCCACUGCUUGAAUAGCUGCCUCACGUAGUCGAGCAGUCGUCGCCUCCCUCUCAUACUCCUCUACCUCUCCUAUGGUUAUGUAGUAUCUUCGUUUUACCUGAAAGUCAAAUAAAGAAGGAGCAGGAAGGGUAAUAUGGAAAACACGCUGCCGGUUAAAUAUCAAGCGGUAUAGGAGGGAUCCAUGAUCUCUCUCAAGUAACUGGUAGCGUGUUAGAGCGACACGAUCAAGGUAGGCUGUACGGAGAGGAGGGUCUUCUGAACGGAUGGAUACUCCAAGAAAAUUUGCUAAGCGUGUAGCAUAAACUCCACCAAAGAAAUCCCCCUCACUGACAUUAUUAUUCAGCCUCCUUGCUAUUAUAGCUCCCAUAUUGAAGCUCCUAUCACCUGUUACUGCGCUUUUAAGGAUACUAAGGUCAGAAGCGCAUAGGUGACAAUGUGCACCCUUGCCGUUAAUGCACCUGCAUAUGAAGAGGGCAAAGUAGUGCAAGGUAGGGAAAUGGAUGCUUCCUAUGGUGGCCUGUGUGAUAUCUCUGGUUUCUCCAACAGUUGUACUGGACACAAAGUCUCUGACCGAAGACUUAGAAGGAUCAUUAAUACUACCCCCAUCGGGUAUCUUGCAAAUCCUAUUGAAAUCCUCCAAAUCCUUGGCGUAGGAUUUAUCGUACAGAUCAAACAGUAUGGAUGAGUCACGACCAACUAAAAAUUUAAAUCUACGCACGAAAGAGGAAGUGAGCAUAGCAUACUGUUCACAUUUAUCUGAGAGGAAUUCUUCUAACCCGACAUUGCGGACAAGUGUAUCAAACUCAUCCUUGAAACCUGCUUCGAUCAUGAACUCAUCGGAAGGCCAUUCACAUGGUUGUACCGGUGCGGCCCUUAGUUGAAAAGGUUCGGGCUCCCGAAAAUAAAGACGGGUACCCUUCUAACUUGAGGAACCACCAUGAAACUUCCUCCUGAACAUAAUUUCCUUUUGCUGAAAUUUUUGAAGUUCAAGAGAAAAGUGAAUGAAGACCAACCACACCUUGUAGCAACUACUCCUACUAGUGCCUAGAGACCGUAUCACGCGCUAAAACUACCUGGGACUAGCUAAAAUCAACAUUUCUAUCUCAAGAACAGGGUCACCAAGGUAGCAAGAAUACAAGAAGGAUAAAGCACUAGAGCAAAAACAAAUUGGACCAAUGGAGGAGUCACUUACGUGGAGUAAUUUCCCCAAAACGGUUCGGAGAAGGGUGCUUUGAGCAAGGAGAUCGAAAAUCACAGCCAAAUGAGCAAGAACACGGGUUUGAGCUGCGAAACAAUUAUUUCUAGAGGUGGAAGAAGAGGAUGGGAGCUGGAACACGGCCCAAUAUUUUUCAAAUAUUGCAGAAAAAAUCAUACUAAAUUUUCACGACCAUCGGAGAACUUUUAUGUUCGAGGUAUUUUUCUCCGGGAUGCUAAAAGAGAAAACAGGAAAACUAAACUAAAUCUAUCAUUUUUCUUAUUAGCAACAGAAAAUGAAAGCUCAAAACAGAGGUAGGUGACUCUUUGAUUCAUCCAUUUCAUGGUCAUCUAAAGAAAUCCGUCAAUGGGGUUGAUCAAGUCCUCAUGACAAAACCUUCUCGAAUCGCAAGAGAGAACGGAGAAUUUUCGAGCAGCCCCUAAGUCACCUCAAUGGGGAUAUGUAUCUCCCCAAAAAGCAAAUCAUACUUCAUCUUGACACGAGGAAUAGGGCAUUCAAAGCUCCCAAUAAGAAUCAAUGAAUUCUUUUCGAUAGCAUUGAUGCAAUGUACUUGAUAUCGUUUCUUCGGAAAGUGCACCAUGUGCUCAUUACCGUUGACAUGGAAAGUGAAAUUGCCUUUGUUGCAAUCUAUAACAGCCACUGCAGUAUUUAAAAAGGGUCUUCCGAGGAUGACAGCCAUGGCAUCGUUCUCGGGAAUAUCCAAGAUAACAAAGUCAGUUAAGAUAGUGGUGUUAGCAACCACAACAGGGACAUCCUCUCAAAUGCUGAUAGGGAAAGCAGUUGAUUUGUCGACCAUUUGCAGAGAAAUUUCAGUGGGUGUCAACUUAUCAGAUUCAAGUCUACGAUAAAGAGAUAGCGGCAUAACACUAACACCGGCUCCAAGGUCACAUAAGGCAGUUCUUACCUACUUUCCUUUAAUGGAGCAAGGUAUAGUGUACACUCCGGGAUCACCAAGUUCCUUAGGAGUUCCACCUUUGAAAGUGUAGUUGGCAAGCAUGGUGGAGAUCUCAAGAUCUAGUGUCUUCCGUUUAUUAGUCACGAUAUCUUUCAUGUACUUGGCAUACGGAGACAUCUUGAGCAUAUUAGUUAACCGCAUUUGCAGAAAGACGGGUCUUAUCAUCUCAACGAAGCGCUCAAAAUCCUCAUCAUCCUUUUUCUUGGAUGGCUUAGGAGGAAAGGGCAUAGAUAUCUGAACCCAUGGCUCCCUUUCUUUACCAUGCUUCCUAGCAGUGAAGUCAUUCUUAUCGUAUCUCUUAGGUUGUGGGUUAUCAGGAUGAACUGUAGGUUCAGUCUCCACAUCAUCAUUAUUGCUAGGUUGAGCAUUAUUAUGAACAUCACUAUCCAUAUUGUCACCAGGUUCAUCUUCAUCACCAGAUUGUGUUUGUGCAUCAGACGCAGAAAUAUCAUUAUGUUCUUCAGGUGUGACAGUAUUUGGUGAACUAGCAUGUAGGUUUCUGUCAUCCUUCUUCUUCGCCUUAGGAUGACUGGGUGUAUAAGCAUUGAUUCCUUGAGAAUCUUGAUCAAUUCUCUUAGGAUGACCUUUAGGAUACAAAGGUUCCUGAGUCAUUUUGCGUCCUCUAGUAAUGACUCUGACAGAGUUGUCAUUUAAUUCAUUGAGUAGGUCAUUUUGAUCUUUAAGUACUUGUUCUACCUGAGUAGUAAUCAUAGAGGCAUGUUUACUCUGAAGCUUCAGAUCAUUGACAUUUCUGUCUAUACAAGCACUUAGAUGGCUAAGCAUACGAGUACUUUGUUCCAAAUGUCUGCUAACAUAAUCAUUGAAACUCUGUUGUUUGGCAACAAGGUUGUCAAAUUCAUCAAAGCAUAGGCUAGCAGGUUUGUCAAAAGGAAUAUCACUUUCAUCAAACCUACACAGAUAAUUCACUUCUACUACUUGUAUCAGGUUAUCGAGACAAUGGAUCUCUUCGAUAGGUGGUAGAUUUUUGACAUCUUCAGAUCUAAUGCCUUUCUCUUACAUAGAUUUCUUGGCUUCUUGCAUAUCUUCGGGACCGAGGAAUAGAAUACCUCUUUUCUUAGGAGUUGUCUUAGGAGGUGGUUCAUGAAUAGUCCAAGCAUUAUCGUUGAUCAAGAUGUUAUUCAGUAGAGUCUCAGCUUGUUCUACAGUUCGUUCCCUAAAAACACAACCGGCACAACUAUCUAGGUGGUCUCUAGAAGCAUCGGUAAGUCCGUUAUAGAAGAUAUCAAGUAUCUCGUUCUUCUUAAGAGGGUGAUCAGGCAAAGCAUUCUCUAGCUGGACGAGCCUCCCCCAAGCUUGUGGGAGAUUCUCUUCUUGGAGUUGAGCAAAGUUGUAUAUUUCCUGCAAGGCAGCUUGCUUCUUAUGGGCAGGGAAAUAUUUUUCACACAAGUAAUAGGACAUAUCAUGGGGACUACUCAAAUAGCAAGAGAGGUGAACCCGGCUUUAUCGUCAUCCUUUAAAGAGAAAGGAAACAACUUAAGGAUGUAGUAGUGGCGGAUCUUCUUCUCACUAGUGAAAUGGGUGGCUAUAUCGAGUAGUUUUGUAAGAUGGGCUACGACCUUCCCAGACUCAUAACCAUGGAAAGGAUCCGAUUCGACUAGAGAGAUUAUCUCAGGAUCGACAAAGAAUUCAUAGUCCUUAUCGGUGAUAAAGAUAGGUGAAGUGGCAAACUUCGGGUCCUAUUUCAUCCUAGCUUUCAGAGAUUUUUCCUCCCACUUGAGAAGUAAUUUCUCAGCAUCAUAGGCAUCCUUACACGUAAGAAAAUCCUCAGCUAUCUCUCCCUCCAUAAUGUAACCCUCAGGUAUAUCAGGAAAUUCAUAUCUAGGAGAGCUAGAUCUAGCAGGAGCAAAAGCAGGUUCUAUCUCAAUAGUAUUGGCAGUUUCAGAAGCAUCACGAGCAUUGGCAGUAACUCUAGCAAUAUGAGCAUCUAGGAAUACCCCCAGUGGAACAUCAGUCAAUGUAGUAUCUCUAGCAGUAUCCAGCAUAUCAUCAUCAGGCAAAAUAGCAUCUCUAGCAUCAUCAGGCAUAGGAUCUCUAGCAUCAUCAGGCAAAGCAGUAUCAUGCAUAGCAUCUCUAGCGGUAUCAAGCAUAGCAUCAUCAGGCAUAGUAUCAAGCAUAGAAUCUCUAGCAGUAGCAUCAUAAGCAUCAUCAAGCACAGGCGACAUAUCAAGAUUUCUAGCAGGAGGUGAUGUCGCAAACUUAGUCAUAACUGAAGGCGAAUCAAGUGCAGAGCUAGAUGGCAAUUCCUUACCUCCCCUCGUAGUUGAGGGCAAGACUUUGGUUUUUGGGUCCUUUAGAUUCUUCAUAGUGAUCAGCACAUAUAAAUCCCAAGUAACUCAGAGAAUAUAGCAAUACCUCCCCGGCAACGGCGCCAGAAAAAUGCUAAUUCCGUGACAACAGACCUUCCCCUGCAACGGCACCAGAAAAAUGCUGCUAGCACUCCCCGACAAUGAAACUAGAAGAAUGUUGUAGAUGGCCCACCAACGCGUGGGAUCACAGCAGUUUUCGAGGGUAGAGUAUUCGACCCAAAUUUGUUGAUUCGCCAGACAGGAGGUGAGAGAAUACUCCCGAGUAUUAGCAGCUGAAUUUAUCAGAUUCAACCACACCUGAAAGAUUAGUAUCUGCAAGCAAAGUAUCAGCAGCAAAGUAGUACGAUAACAACGGUGUCAGAAACGAUCUGUUGAUGGCAGGCUAUUCCUAACGAUUGUAUCAAUGGCGCCAGAAGUUUCCAGUGGACAGAAAGUAUUCUUUCCCAUCAACGGCGCGAGAAAAAGUACUGUAGCAGGUAGCAGCAGUGUAACGAGUAAUAGCAGUGGCAAGGAACAGCAGUAGUGAUAGCAGUAGCAAGUAGCAAGCGUAGCAAGCGACAGUAGUAGUAACAGUACCAGCAGAGCAAGACAAGUAACAGCAGCAGAGCAAGACAAGUAACAACAGCAGUAGGACAAACUCGUAGGCAAUGGGUCGGUGAUUUGUUUGGAUGAUAUUCAUCAUGCAACAGUUAUAACACGGAGAGAUAUGUGGCUAGCUCCCGUUCGUCAAUGUGAUGUAGGCCUGCAUUAUGUGUGUCGUCAUACGUGCUUAGGGAAAAGAACUUGCAUGACAUCUAUUAUGCAUCCCUCCCGUGGCAGCGGGGUCCAAAAGGAAACUACGGGAUAUUAAGGUUCUCCUUUUCAUAAAGAACCGAACCAACGCAUUAGCACUUGGUGAACACAUGAACUCCUCAAAGUAUGGUCAUCACCGGGACUGGUUCCGGUUAUUGUCACUCCAGGGUUGCCGGAUCAUAAAACAUAGUAGGUAACUACAACUUGCAAGAUCGGAUCUAAAACACACAUAUAUUGGUGACAACAUAAUAAUUUCAGAUCUGCAAUCAUGGCACUCGGGCCCUAGUGACAAGCAUUAAGCAUGGCAAAAUAGUAGCAACAUCAAUCUCAGAACAUAGUGGAUACUAGGGAUCUAUCCCCGUCAAAACUAACUCGAUUACAUGAUAGAUCUCAUCCUACCCAUCACCGCCCAGCGAGCCUACGAAUAGAUUGCUCACGAACAACGAAGAGCUUCAUGUAAUUGGAGAGGGAAGAAGGUUGAUGAUGACGAUGGCGACGAUUUCCCCUCUCCGGAGCCCAAAACGGACUCCAGAUCUGCCCUCCAGAUGAAGAACAGGAUGUGACGGCGCCUCCGUAUCGCAAACACGACGAAAU